rnacentral:lncRNA from 1 species
CGGGGGGUUAAUUGCUACGAUUUUGCUACGUUAGGGUAGUAAACAGCGCUUACCCUGACUAUGGGGGGCUGUACGCGAUAGGGACGCCAACGUUGGGGGGUAUUUGGUACUUUACCCUUUAAAAAUCCUAAACUAGAGGAAAAAUGGAGCAAACCCUGUCAUUGGUUCAGUAGUAGGCACACCCGAACCUUCGUUGCAUUGCUCUAGGUAAUCGUCGAACUCGCUAUCCAUUGCAAAAAAAUUGAGGAACACAAAAAAUAGAGGAAAAAUAUAUAAUGAGAGAACAAUGGGAAGAAUGAGAGAAGAUGAAAAUUUGUGAAGACAAAUGUGGGUAUUUAUAAAGGUAGAAAGGAAAAUUAAAAAAUAAAAUAAAAAAUUGGCUACUAGCCGUUUUUUUCAAACGGUCAAAAGAAUUAAAAAAAAAAGGAAAAAACUAAGAAACGGUCGAAAUUUUAAAAAAAAAUCAGAUUUUUU